GACCCCAAACUUUUGGACGGUAGUUUAUUUUGUAAUGUCAUAUAUUUAACCUGGACUUGCUGGCCAGCCAUGAUGCCCUAGUAAGGAAUCUGGGACAAACCGCUAGUAAUCAGUGUGUGUGUUUAUGUGACAUGGGACUUUAGCCAUCUCCAGCGGCAAAGUCACUGUUAGUGGUCACUGUGACAUCGAUCAACUCUUGUUGUAAUUAGACAUUCUGAGGCAUUUUGACCUUCUUCUUUUGGCCAAGAACUGUAAGGUAAACGUUUGUGUAAAUGUUGUUACUCAUUAUCAUGGCAGACUGUGGGAAUUCAGUUGUAGUCUUGACCUUGGGCAUUGCUAAUCUGUAUCUACCAGUACCAAUGUGACAGAUUUAUGUAAGAAGACUAUUAUGAUGCCAAUCCUAGUGAAUUUAGAGAGGGUUUGAUAUUCCUUUCAACUGGGUAGCGCUUUAACAGUAGUCUAAUACAUAUGGAUAGACAACAAUAAGCUAUUUCACAACUCUAUUUCACCACCACAGCGCUGGUGUUUUAUGGUAAAAAAAAAAUCAAAAAUAUGUGGGCCAGGGCUGAGUAAACGUAUAAUAAAUCAUUGACCAAGUUGGACUAAAAAGGUGGGGUCAAAGAGGAUAGCUUUGACCUUGUGUGAGUGGUCACAUGAUCAAAAUAGAAUGUGGAGAUGGGAGUGGUCACAGUUUUUUUGUUUUGAGCCCUUAUUGAUUUCAAUCAAAUUUACCAAUCACAUCUAUCACAUAUGAGAGAAACUGCUUCUAUGUUAUGUCAUACUAGUACAUUGUCACUCAAUGGUCUCUCUAGGUCACUUCCAGGCAGGCAGGCAGCCCUCAGCUCCCAGAUCGAAAGGCCUAGUUAAUGAUUAACAAUACCAGUCAGAUUUAUUGUGUACAGUGAUUCUGUCAGGAAGCAUUUCCUUCUCUAGCCUGUCCGGGAAACACACACUCUACAGACACACUCUCAGGCUCUCUGCCUGUCUACAGCUACCAUACCUACACUUCUAGCUCUAGAUCAGACAGCUGCCAGAUGAAUCAGACCAUGCAACCCUCCCACAGCUCUCAUCCCAGAACACCUCUCAGAUCUGUCCAUCUGCGGGCCACAGAGACUGGCUCUGCCCUGUGUGUCUGCAAACUGCCAGCUUCCCUGUACAGACCAACUGUGGCCAUCUCUUCUGUGGACAAUGACCCAAGACACCUCCAGUCUGUGUAAGGGCUAUUUCACCAAA